rnacentral:tRNA from 1 species
GAGUUCUUGGAUAAAAUAGGUCUGUGAAUCAGUGGCCUUUUAAGCCAUUGGUUGAGAGUUCGAGCCUCUCCGCGCUCA